rnacentral:rRNA from 1 species
AAACCGGAAGAAGGUGGGGAUGAGGUCAAGUCCUCAUGGCCCUUAUGGGUAGGGCUUCACACGUCAUACAAUGGUCGGUACAGAGGGUUGCCAAGCCGCGAGGUGGAGCCAAUCCCAGAAAACCGAUCGUAGUCCGGAUUGGAGUCUGCAACUCGACUCCAUGAAGUCGGAAUCGCUAGUAAUCGCGGAUCAGAAUGUCGCGGUGAAUACGUUCCCGGGUCUUGUACACACCGCCCGUCAAACCAUGGGAGUGGGUCUCACCAGAAGUAGGUAGCCUAACCGUAAGGAGGGCGCUUACCACGGUGGGAUUCAUGACUGGGGUUAAGUCGUAACAAGGUAGCCGUAUCGGAAGG